rfam:Perkinsus marinus ATCC 50983 gcontig_1104296598918, whole genome shotgun sequence.
GCCUUCUUAGCUUAGUUGGUAGAGCACCCGCUUAGUAAGCGGGAGGUCGUCGGUCCAACUCCGGCAGAAGGCU